rnacentral:rRNA from 1 species
AACGAACGCUGGCGGCAUGCCUAACACAUGCAAGUCGAACGAGACCUUCGGGUCUAGUGGCGCACGGGUGCGUAACGCGUGGGAACCUGCCCUUAGGUUCGGAAUAACUCCCCUAAAGGGGUGCUAAUACCGGAUAAUGUCUUCGGACCCAAGAUUUAUCGCCUUUGGAUGGGCCCGCGUUGGUUUAGCUUGUUGGGAGGGUAAAAGCCUACCAAGGCGACGAUCCAUAGCUGGUCAGAGAGGAUGAUCAGCCACACUGGGACUGAGACACGGCCCAGACUACUACGGGAGGCAGCAGUGGGGAAUAUUGGACAAUGGGCGAAAGCAUGAUCCAGCAAUGCCGCGUGAGUGAUGAAGGCCUUAGGGUUGUAAAGCUCUUUUACCCGGGAUGAUAAUGACAGUACCGGGAGAAUAAGCUCCGGCUAACUCCGUG